rnacentral:rRNA from 1 species
UACGUAGGGUGCAAGCGUUAAUCGGAAUUACUGGGCGUAAAGCGUGCGCAGGCGGUUAUGCAAGACAGAUGUGAAAUCCCCGGGCUCAACCUGGGAACUGCAUUUGUGACUGUAUAGCUAGAGUACGGUAGAGGGGGAUGGAAUUCCGCGUGUAGCAGUGAAAUGCGUAGAUAUUGGGUGGAACACCGGUGGCGAAAGCGGCUCACUGGUCCGGUUCUGACGCUGAGGCGCGAAAGCGUGGGGAGCAAACAGG